AUGGGUUGCUCUACUUCUUCCGGACCUAGGUGACUGUGACGUCAGGCCGACGUGGAGCGGGAUGCGCACAGUUGUCCACGUCAGCUACGGCAGCUGGUCGUCGAACACCCACGUACACUUCUAUGGACUCUUGAUGCUCCACUCUUGAUCCUGUAAGUCCAGGACUGGUGCUUGACACGAACCGCGGCAGUUUGUUUGUACUAUGCCUAAUCGAUGGAAUUCCUACUGUGAUAACAUGAUUUAUUUCAAUAAAUUAUAGCCGAAGCUUAAUGUGUGGUUAAAGGCUGACAACAGAGCAUAACGUAUCACAAAAGGUAUUCCGAUAAUGAUUUUUGAUCCCCCACCCAAAAAAAAAGGUUCGAGAAAAUUUAUAUUAAUAGUUUUUGUUCAAAUCACACCUUAAUUUAUCAAAGAGACAAGAAGUGACGUACCUUCACAUUAAUGGUGGCAUCGUCUGCUAGUUUGGGCUUCACAUAAGUAAAAGUUGUGUGCAGUCUCCUAUACAGUGCAGCUACUUAUACAAUGCAGGCAAGUCCUUAGCAAAGAAUUGUAGAUACAGCAGUGAGUACACAUCGCGUGCUCGUUCACCUGGCAUUAUAGCAACUGAGUGUGAGUAAUGUGUGUUGAAAGCAGAUAAAGCUACACGGUAGUAUGUCGAUACAUUUUUGCAAAUAACGAACAGUAAUAAAUGAUAAAUCAAUUUAUAUAAAUUAAUUACUUCUGACUAAUUUAAAUUAUGAAGCAAUGUUAUAUUGCCAGAGCAAACUUAAAAUAAGAUAAAAAGCAUUGUAUGAAAAUCUUUUCAAAACAUCAGAAGCCUUGUAACAUUUGUUUCGUCAGUAAACGAGGGGCUACGUGAACUAGUUGGGUAAGUUCAUGAGUACAAUCUCAGUUCAGCCUCACCCAGCAACUCAUAAAAGUCGAUUAAACCUUAAAGUUCGGCUCUCUUGUGCACUAAGGCUCGUGUUGAAAUGUUUUACACUUUAUUUUUUUACUGUUUUCUACACUCUGUUAACCACUACUCUUUGCCUACAGUCAUGUGCAUGGUGGUUGUGUACCACCAUACAAUAUAUUGUUGCAGGAGAGCUGCCCUGCUUCACGCCGCCAAGUCACAAGUGCAUGUUAAGCACUCGUCAAGUUACAGGUGACUUGUCGGAGCAGAGAAGACACGACACGGGUGCACGUAGGCGUGAACAGUAAACAGAAAAAUGUUUGUAUUGCUUCCCUUGACAGUCAAGCUGUCUGAACAUCAAUGUUUGGCCUGAUGAAAACCCACGCUAGUUGUUACAAGCAAACACUUUAUUUGGGAUGCGCUGUGCUGUAAAUAACAAAGAACACUCCCACCUGUACUUGUUUUUUCCACUCCUCGCCCUUUACUACAUGGCUACAAGAUAAUUAGCUCUGAUUCUGAACCGGCGAGACAUCUCUCAGCCAUUGUUUAGGUUUUAAAAAAACACACCCACAAACUUCCAGUUCUUGUUCACUCGAGCAGCGGGAAACAUGUAAAUGCUUCAGGAGGGGGCGAACCUCCUCUAGCUAAACACACAGGUAUCAGAAUCUAUUGAAUGAGAAAAUAAACUGGUUCGGUAAUGUAUAAUGCCAUUGCGAGGUGAAGACGGACAUUUCAGGUUUAAGCAUUCUUUCUCCAUGUGAUAAGACUGCGCGGGGAUGUGAGAGCGAAAAAAAAAAUCGUGUAAGGUUUGUACCGCACAUACAAUGUUAGCAGCCAGUCUGGUGUGGAGGGUUUUCUAUAGUUACUUGGUGGCUGCUCAUUACAUAUAAAUAAAAUAAUCUUUAAGUCAUUUAUUUUGAAGUUUUAAACAGGCUAACCUGCUUUUUUUUUUUUUUGCAAUGAUUGAAAUACAUAAAAAGUACUCUAAAAUAAAAUUUGUGAUACACAUCAGCUAAUUAGAAUGAAAUUUAUACCGUGAGAGAGUAGUGGGCACAAUAACACAAUAGCAGACGACAAUCAAACUAAAGAAGGGAAACUUUAGAGUCAGUAAUGUACAGAAAAGGAGAACUGGCUCUUUGAUAUUCUUAUUCGUCUCGGUAUUAACUCGUAUCGCUGUAGGAGUUAACAUGUUUGGCUUCAACUUUCUCUUUUUGUUUUUUGUGCAUGGGUAGGAGGCUAUUUUUUCUAUUGUCUGGCUAUUGCCAGAUAAAUAUUUUUUACAACUGAAACUAGACUAAGAAUGGUAGUAUCAUCAUAACAGAAUAAUUGCCAAUCAUGUGUGACGAAGCCUUAGACACAAGUAGUGAUACACAUACAGUGGACAGUCUGAUAUGGAGUACACCGCCACUCAAGAAUCAUACAAAUAAAUCAAAAUUUAAAUCUUAAAUGUAUUUUUUUAUUUCUGUAACUCAGUUAUAGUUGUUUCAUGAGAUACGAAGUUAUUUUUGUAUGUAUUGAGUUGUCUAGUAAGGUUGUGGACGCUGCUGACGAUCGCGGAAUAUUUCCAUACAUGCGAGGGUCACAACUGGCGCCAGGUAUCACACUGCAGCCUCAUCGAUCUUUCCGCUUGCCUGCGCCUACAUGCUGCACAGCACCAGCAGCUCCACGCAGUCCUCCAGCAGCCCAUAUCGCAUGCUGCACAGCACCAGCAGCUCCACGCAGUCCUCCAGCAGCCCAUAUCGCAUGCUGCACAGCACCAGCAGCUCCACGCAGUCCUCCAGCAGCCCAUAUCGCAUGCUGCACAGCACCAGCAGCUCACAGUUCUCCAGCAUCCAGCCCACACAUGCUGUACAGCACCAGCAGCACGCAGUUCUGUAGCAUCCAGCUUAUUUCACAUGCUGCACAGCACCAGCAGCUCCACACAGUUCUCCAGCAUCCAGCCCACACAUGCUGUACAGCACCAGAAAUUAUAUGCUGCUCUCCAUCAUGUAACUGUCUGCACAGCAGUCCGUCCAUAUGCUGCUUCUUGUUGUUCUUUGUGGUAAGAUGAGGUGAAAUAAAAGAAGGAAUCUUAGACACAAUUUUUAUUAACAAAGUGAAGUGGAACCAAAGAUAUUUAAUGUAAGUUCUUUGUUAUGAGUUCCCGGCGAAAUCCCCAUGAUCACGUGGUACUCUGCCUGUGCAAUGCCUUUUUUUUUUAAAAAAAAAAACAUUGGUGGCAAUGGGGUGCUUAAUUAGUGUAGUGAUGAAGUUUUUGCAUUUUAUGUCUGGGUUCGAUGUAGACUACCAGUUGUAUUCACGGAAAGUGUAGACAAUCAUACAUAUGAUUGAUGCAGAGGAAUAGCUGUAAAAGAGUGAUGUGUUUUCUAUAAAGUUGUUAUGUUGGCCAUGGUAGACAAGAACGGUCUCUCUGCAGUGUAAUCUGUUCUAAUCCAUUGACAAACAGCUUAACAGUUUCAAAUUUCUCUACCAGAUACAAGGUCGUCAAGCAGAUACCAGCAUAUUCCUCGGCUGUUCUAUGCUUUAUUAUGUAUUGUUACUCUAAUCACUCAUAUCUCCAUGAUAGUUAUCAAUGAGUUUAUUUCACAGAUGCGCUAACGGUCUUCUCUCUGGUAAAUAUUUGGUUCACACAUAAGUUAUUUCAGAGUUCCUUGUAUCAUAAAAAUAUUUCAGUUCUAUUUUUUUAAUUUCCCUUUUUUUUAUUCUCAUUAAUAGGCAAAGACCUUUUUUGUGUUGUUGUCUUUGAACUCAGGGUUAAAAUUUAAUUUCCCUAAAUGGGAAUUAUGCAAGUUCUCUACAGAAAAAGUCUGCAAAACAGAAUAUUUUUCAGUGAUGUUUUUCACUUCCUCUCUUUUUACAAAGUCACAAAAACAAGCCGGAAAAUAUCUUUAAAAAUAUUUAGAAAUAGUUUAUCAACAUUGGAAACAUGACGUCACCUACACAUCGCAUUUAGCAUCGUUGACGAAAAGAAGAUUUUCCUCGCUGGGCUGAAAGCGUCCCCCCAAAGCCCAUUGCGACUAAAAAAAGGUCGGGAGAGAAGUUUUUAGCAACAGAUUGAACGAAGUGCACCAAGCGCGUAGACGAUAAUAGAAACAUUUCCCCGAGAAUCCAUUAAAUGAUGUUUAAUUUAAGACUCGACUGAAGUACUGUAUCCUCUGCCGGCCAAAAGCUGGGGAUUUAUAAACGUCACACAAAUCUCGUCCGCCCGCACGCGUCACGCCGACGUCACUGCCAGUAUCGAUCGGGGUCAGCGCUUUGUUGGCGUACAGCCGUGACGUCAGCCUGUCGGGUGGUGGCGGACACGGGCGUGAGAUGAGGCUGGCGCAGUUAUCUGCCUACAGGGACGUCAGGCAGUUGAUCGAUCUCAUGAAAUCAAGAGACCAGCGGCCGAUGCCUCCCCAACCCAUGUCCCUCUGCUGUCUUCUCGCACUUCACUCGCUCCUCAGCAACCGUUCUUACAGCUACUUCGCGUGAAAAUAGUUCUUGUGCAUCUCUCAGCUCUGUAACUGCUUGUAUUAAACUGUCGCCAAAUGCAGAUCAAAAUACAAUGAAACAUAAUUAUGAUUACAAUUAACUUUUG
rnacentral:misc_RNA from 1 species